rnacentral:rRNA from 1 species
CCUACGGGAGGCAGCAGUGGGGAAUAUUGCACAAUGGGGGAAACCCUGAUGCAGCGACGCAGCGUGAGUGAAGAAGGAAUUCGUUAUGGAAAGCUCUAUCAGCAGGGAAGUAAAUGACGGUACCUGAGGAAGAAGCCACGGCUAACUACGUGCCAGCAGCCGCGGUAAUACGUAGGGGGCAAGCGUUAUCCGGAUUUACUGGGUGUAAAGGGAGCGUAGACGGCAGUGCAAGUCUGGAGUGAAAGGCGGGGGCUCAACCCCCGGAUUGCGCUGGAAACUGGACGGCUGGAGUGCAGGAGAGGCAAGUGAAAUUCCUCGUGUAGCGGUGAAAUGCGUAGAUAUUAGGAGGAACACCAGUGGCGAAGGCGGCUUACUGGACUGUAACUGACGUUGAGGCUCGAAAGCGUGGGGAGCAAACAGGAUUAGAUACCCCAGUAGUC